rnacentral:sRNA from 1 species
AAUCAUUCUAUUUAAUCAAAUUGCAAUUCUAAAAUCACGAGUAGUCGCUAAAGACAGGCAAAGUAGUCGUAAAGCACCAUUCCCUUGUGACGUUUUUUUAUGAGUCACAACCCAAUAUUUAUGAUUUCUGAACUUUAAGAUCU